CCUACGGGAGGCAGCAAUUAGGAAUCUUGCGCAAUGGGCGAAAGCCUGACGCAGCGACGCCGCGUGACUGAUGAAGUCUUUCGGGAUGUAAAGGUCUUUUCUGGGGGAAGAAGGAUGUGACGGUACCCCAGGAAUAAGCCCCGGCUAACUACGUGCCAGCAGCCGCGGUAAUACGUAGGGGGCGAGCGUUGUCCGAAUUCACUGGGCGUAAAGCGCGCGUAGGCGGGCUUGUAAGUUGUGGGUGAAAUCCCGGGGCUCAACUCCGGAACUGCCUGCAAAACUGGAAGCCUUGAGGGAUGGAGAGGGAAGUGGAAUUCCUGGUGUAGCGGUGAAAUGCGUAGAUAUCAGGAGGAACACCCGUGGCGAAGGCGGCUUCCUGGCCAUAUCCUGACGCUGAGGUGCGAAAGCUAGGGGAGCGAACG
rnacentral:rRNA from 1 species